GAUGAACGCUGGCGCGCGUGUCUUAACACAUGCAAGUCGAACGGAGUGCCUUUGAAAGAGGAUUCGUCCAAUUGAUAAGGUUACUUAGUGGCGGACGGGUGAGUAACGCGUGAGGAACCUGCCUUGGAGUGGGGAAUAACACAGUGAAAAUUGUGCUAAUACCGCAUAAUGCAGUUGGGCCGCAUGGCUCUGACUGCCAAAGAUUUAUCGCUCUGAGAUGGCCUCGCGUCUGAUUAGCUAGUUGGUGGGGUAACGGCCCACCAAGGCGACGAUCAGUAGCCGGACUGAGAGGUUGAACGGCCACAUUGGGACUGAGACACGGCCCAGACUCCUACGGGAGGCAGCAGUGGGGAAUAUUGCGCAAUGGGGGCAACCCUGACGCAGCAACGCCGCGUGAUUGAUGAAGGUCUUCGGAUUGUAAAAAUCUUUAAUCAGGGACGAAGAAAAUGACGGUACCUGAAGAAUAAGCUCCGGCUAACUACGUGCCAGCAGCCGCGGUAAUACGUAGGGAGCAAGCGUUAUCCGGAUUUACUGGGUGUAAAGGGCGUGUAGGCGGGCUUGCAAGUUGGAAGUGAAAUCUCGGGGCUUAACCCCGAAGCUGCUUUCAAAACUGCGAGUCUUGAGUGAUGGAGAGGCAGGCGGAAUUCCCAGUGUAGCGGUGAAAUGCGUAGAUAUUGGGAGGAACACCAGUGGCGAAGGCGGCCUGCUGGACAUUAACUGACGCUGAGGCGCGAAAGCGUGNGGAGCAAACAGG
rnacentral:rRNA from 1 species